AUAAUGGUGUUACUUGUUUGUAUGAA
rnacentral:sRNA from 1 species